AGGUAAGCUACUAAGAGCGAAUGGUGGAUGCCUUGACUGGUAAAGGCGAUGAAGGACGUACUAGACUGCGAUAAGCUACGGGGAGCUGUCAAGAAGCUUUGAUCCGUAGAUUUCCGAAUGGGGCAACCCAAUGUAUAGAGAUAUACAUUACCUAUAUAGGAGCGAACGAGGGGAAUUGAAACAUCUUAGUACCCUCAGGAAAAGAAAUCAAUAGAGAUUGCGUCAGUAGCGGCGAGCGAAAGCGCAAGAGGGCAAACCCAGUGCUUGCACUGGGGGUUGUAGGACUGCAAUGUGCAAGAGGUAAGUUUAGCAGAACAUUCUGGAAAGUAUAACCAUAGAGGGUGAUAGUCCCGUAUGCGAAAAACAAACCUUAGCUAGCAGUAUCCUGAGUAGGGCGGGACACGAGGAAUCCUGUCUGAAUCUGGGUCGACCACGAUCCAACCCUAAAUACUAAUACCAGAUCGAUAGUGCACAAGUACCGUGAGGGAAAGGUGAAAAGAACUGAGGUGAUCAGAGUGAAAUAGAACCUGAAACCAUUUGCUUACAAUCAUUCAGAGCCCUAUGUAGCAAUACAGGGUGAUGGACUGCCUUUUGCAUAAUGAGCCUGCGAGUUGUGGUGUCUGGCAAGGUUAAGCAAACGCGAAGCCGUAGCGAAAGCGAGUCUGAAUAGGGCGCUUAGUCAGAUGCUGCAGACCCGAAACGAAGUGAUCUAUCCAUGAGCAAGUUGAAGCUAGUGUAAGAACUAGUGGAGGACUGAACCCAUAGGCGUUGAAAAGCCUCGGGAUGACUUGUGGAUAGGGGUGAAAGGCCAAUCAAACUUCGUGAUAGCUGGUUCUCUCCGAAAUAUAUUUAGGUAUAGCGUUGUGUCGUAAUAUAAGGGGGUAGAGCACUGAAUGGGCUAGGGCAUACACCAAUGUACCAAACCCUAUCAAACUCCGAAUACCUUAUAUGUAAUCACAGCAGUCAGGCGGCGAGUGAUAAAAUCCGUCGUCAAGAGGGAAACAACCCAGACUACCAGCUAAGGUCCCUAAAUCUUACUUAAGUGGAAAACGAUGUGAAGUUACUUAAACAACCAGGAGGUUGGCUUAGAAGCAGCCAUCCUUUAAAGAAAGCGUAAUAGCUCACUGGUCUAGUGAUUUUGCGCGGAAAAUAUAACGGGGCUAAAGUAAGUACCGAAGCUGUAGACUUGCACACAACUUAGAUUAUUUAAGUUUAGAAUAUGAGAAACUAAGUUAUAUGUUUAGUUAUAUUUUUACUGAUUUUUAUAGAGUAAAGAUAGAAAUAAAACUUAGUAAAAUCAGUAAAAAUAUUCUUAGACUAAAGUUAAGUAGUUUAAGUUGUGUGCAAGUGGUAGGAGAGCGUUCUAUUUGCGUCGAAGGUAUACCGGUAAGGAGUGCUGGAGCGAAUAGAAGUGAGCAUGCAGGCAUGAGUAGCGAUAAUUAAUGUGAGAAUCAUUAACGCCGUAAACCCAAGGUUUCCUACGCGAUGCUCGUCAUCGUAGGGUUAGUCGGGUCCUAAGUCGAGUCCGAAAGGGGUAGACGAUGGCAAAUUGGUUAAUAUUCCAAUACCAACAUUAGUGUGCGAUGGAAGGACGCUUAGGGCUAAGGGGGCUAGCGGAUGGAAGUGCUAGUCUAAGGUCGUAGGAGGUUAUACAGGCAAAUCCGUAUAACAAUACUCCGAGAACUGAAAGGCUUUUUGAAGUCUUCGGAUGGAUAGAAGAACCCCUGAUGCCGUCGAGCCAAGAAAAGUUUCUAAGUUUAGCUAAUGUUGCCCGUACCGUAAACCGACACAGGUGGGUGGGAUGAGUAUUCUAAGGCGCGUGGAAGAACUCUCUUUAAGGAACUCUGCAAAAUAGCACCGUAUCUUCGGUAUAAGGUGUGGUUCGCUUCGUAUUAGGAUUUACUCCGAAAGCGAAGAAACUUACAACAAAGAGUCCCUCCCGACUGUUUACCAAAAACACAGCACUCUGCUAACUCGUAAGAGGAUGUAUAGGGUGUGACGCCUGCCCGGUGCUCGAAGGUUAAUUGAUGGGGUUAGCAUUAGCGAAGCUCUUGAUCGAAGCCCGAGUAAACGGCGGCCGUAACUAUAACGGUCCUAAGGUAGCGAAAUUCCUUGUCGGUUAAAUACCGACCUGCAUGAAUGGCGUAACGAGAUGGGAGCUGUCUCAAAGAGGGAUCCAGUGAAAUUGUAGUGGAGGUGAAAAUUCCUCCUACCCGCGGCAAGACGGAAAGACCCCGUGGACCUU
rnacentral:rRNA from 1 species